rnacentral:rRNA from 1 species
CCUACGGGAGGCAGCAGUGGGGGAUAUUGGACAAUGGGGGGAACCCUGAUCCAGCGACGCCGCGUGAGUGAAGAAGUAUUUCGGUAUGUAAAGCUCUGUCAGCACGGAAGAAAACAAUGACGGUACCUGACCAAGAAGCCCCGGCUAACUACGUGCCAGCAGCCGCGGUAAUACGGCGGAUGCGAGCGUUAUCCGGAUUUAUUGGGUUUAAAGGGUGCGUAGGCGGGUUAUCAAGUCAGCGGGAAAAUCGUGGAGCUAAACUCCAUCCAGCCGUUGACACUGAUGAUCUUGCGUGGGCGAGAAGUAUGCGGAAUGCGUGGUGUAGCGGUGAAAUGCAUAGAGAUCACGCAGAACUCCGAUUGCGAAGGCAGCAUACCGGCGCCCGACUGACGCUGAAGCACGAAAGCGUGGGUAUCGAACAGGAUUAGAUACCCCUGUAGUC